GGGGAUUUAGAUCGAUUGGGAGAGCGCAUUGCUGGCAGCGAUGAGGUCAGGGGUUCGAUCCCCCUAUUCUCCACCA
rnacentral:tRNA from 1 species